rnacentral:lncRNA from 1 species
ACUAAAAUUAAAAUUUUAAAUCCGCCUAAUUUGUUUAUAUACUUGAUCACUGUGUUUUAGUUAUUUUUGGCUUAAAUUUUAACCUAGGCCAGGCACGAUGGCUCACACCUGUAAUUGUGGCAUCUUGGGAGGCAGAGGCAGGCAGAUCGCCUGAGGUCAGGAAUUGGAGACUAGCCUGGCCAACAUGGUGAAACCCCAUCUCUGCUUAAAAAAAAAAAAAAAAAAAAUCCAAUAUUAGUCUGACUUUGGACCCUGGAAGCAGGAGGUGUAUAAAACAGGAAUACAGGGAGAAACAAAAGCAAUAGAGUAGCUUUUAAAAAUUUGUAUUUAAUUUUAUCUUGCCUCAGCCUCCUGAGUAGCUGGGACUACAGGCGUGCGCCACCACACCUUGCUAAUUUUGUGUUUUUAGUAGAGACAGGGUUUCACCAUAUUGGCCAGUCUGGUCUCAAAUUCCUGACCUCGUGAUCCCCCACCUAAUGUUUUCUGUGUUUCUGGGCUAUUCUUUACUGGCACUUUAGCUAGUUAUAGCAGCAUGAUUUAUAGUCCUUUGAGUAUAUACCCAGUAAUGGGAUGGCUGGGUCAAAUGGUAUUUCUAGUUCUAGAUCCUUGAGGAAUCGCCACACUGACUUCCACAAUGGUUGAACUAGUUUACAGGAUACAAAAUCAAUGUACAAAAAUCACAAGCACUCUUAUACACCAAUAACAGACAAACAGAGAGCCAAAUCAGGAGUGAACUCCCAUUCACAAUUGCUUCAAAGAGAAUAAAAUACCUAGGAAUCCAACUUACAAGGGAUGUGAAGGACCUCUUCAAGGAGAACUAAAAAUCACUGCUCAAUGAAAUAAAAGAGGAUACAAACAAAUGGAAGAACAUUCCAUGCUCAUGGGUAGGAAGAAUCAAUAUCGUGAAAAUGGCCAUACUGCCCAAGGUAAUUUAUAGAUUCAAUGUCAUCCCCAUCAAGCUACCAAUGACUUUCUUCACAGAUAGCCAGAUUUAUUCAACAUGGCCUUUUUCCAUAAUCCCAAAUUCUAAUUUCUGCUUUCUCAGCACUGUAAGAUAGCAGAAAACUACUUCUUAGAAAAUUCUGGCUUAAGAUUUUAGCCCCCUACCGUGUGAGCUUCUUUAUUUUUCCCCUAGCUAAAUUAGAUGUUUCAGUAGAAGAAAAUAAUUAGAUAAGUUUUUAGCUAAAUCUGAUUUGCAACUCACUACAAGGGUAGUCAAAGCAGUGGUACAAGACAGGCCAGCAAAAUUGUCACUCCAGUUUCACUGGUGGAAACGUGGAGACAUGGAGCUAUUAAAUAAUUUCCUAAGGCGACUGACAUGAAAACACUUCCUAGAUCACCGGCUUAACCUACACAUUGUCUUCAAAAGAUGAGUUUUUAAUGGGUAAAUUCUUAGUUCAGGUUUUAAAAGAAAAAAAUCUGUAUUUGGCUGUCACUGAAGAAAAAAACCCAGAAACUAAAAAUGUUAUUAAAUCAGCUAAUGGGGAAAGUGUGCAUAUUUGACCUAUUGGCUUAAUAAUGUAUUUUAAUCAUAAAUAAAAGAUUAAAUAUAAAGUGAGAGGCAAAGCCAAAAUCAGUUCGAUUAUUAAAUAAAUUAUAACCAAAAUAUUUUUAUGCCAGUGAUCUGUAGCAUUUGAAUUCACUUGUGAGUGACAGGACAUGAAAAAUUACAAGAUACAGUAAACAGUUCUCUUCAGCAUUGAAAAAAAUCAUAAUUUACUAGAAGGUUUUAAACAAAGAGUGGAUUAUUAAA